UACGUAGGGGGCAAGCGUUGUCCGGAAUUAUUGGGCGUAAAGCGCGCGCAGGCGGCUUUGUAAGUCUGGUGUUUAAUCUCGGGGCUCAACCCCGAUUCGCAUUGGAAACUGCAAGGCUUGAGUGCAGAAGAGGAAAGUGGAAUUCCCGGUGUAGUGGUGAAAUGCGUAGAGAUCGGGAGGAACACCCGCGGCGAAGGCGGCCACCUGGACCAGGCCUGACGCUGAGGCGCGAAGGCCGGGGGAGCGAACGGG
rnacentral:rRNA from 1 species